rnacentral:tRNA from 1 species
AAAUUUUUAGUAUAAUUAUUACAUUAAUUUUCCAAAUUAAAAAUAUUUUAUUAAUAAAAUUUA